rnacentral:pre_miRNA from 1 species
ACAGUUCUCCAAUUGAGAUUCAAGCACUUUUCUAUGUGGCUUUAAGGUGUGUUUUAUUGCAUGAGCAAGAUGUUGAAUGCAGGGAUUCAUAAAACAAAUUGUCAUACUUUUGCAUGCCUUAAGUUCUCAGCUGAGAAGUUAUUUUUGGUCAGAUUUAAAGCAACUUAACUACAUAUGUCACCUUAAAACAGAACAGUACUCAUCUAUUGCUAUUACUAUUGCGGUGCAACAAAUUUAAUGUUAGAAGAAUGACAUUAAACUUGUUGUGUAUAGUAUUUGAGUACUCUUCUAUUUUGAAGCAAUAUAAGUGGUUAAGUUGUUUCGAAUCCAACCAAAAAUAGUUUAGCUUAAGGCAUGCAAUUGUUUGACAAUUUGUUCUAUUAAUUCAUUGCAUUCAACAUUUUGCCUAAGCAAUUGCAUGGAACACCUUAAAUCCAUGAAGAAAAGUGUUUGAAUCUCAAUUAGAUAACCA